UUCUCAAAAGAUCGCCGAAGUUAAGCAACGUCGAGUCUGGUCAGUACCUAAGUGGGUGACCGCUUGGGAAUACCAGGAGUUGCAAU